CAGCUGGCGCUCGUCGAGCGCUACGAGAUACUCGUCCUCCACUUCGACGGAAAUUUAUUCCGAGUUCGCCGCGGUAGCUACACCACUUCUGCGGAUCUACAACGAAGCCGCUGCACAUAUAUCACACAUCCUUGUGGCAGAAGUACCCAGCGAAGAAGCGACGGACUCUCAAACGAAGACAAAUGAAGACGCAGAGUUUCACAGCGAGCCGACCGCGCCGUACUUCGUUGCUCUCCGCCCGAAAAAAAUAUCGAAGGAUAAGCAGCGGCAAAUUUUGAUAGCGGCGGGAGGUGUGGCGGGUGGACCGCGGGGCCAGGCACAGGCGCUGUUGGCGUGGGAGCUGCCGGCGCUGGAGUUGCCCAUGAUGUGGGUGGACGACGUGCUGGAGCAGCGCGUGCAGGCGCGCCGGACCCGGCCGCGCGCGCCCGACGUCGAGCCCGACCCUGCGCCCUCG
rnacentral:misc_RNA from 1 species